AUUGACAAAAUUGAAAAAAAUUGUUUCGGAUUUGCAAAUUUUCAUUGUAGUUAUGAUAUUUACUUUAAAAAAAAAAUACCAAAUUGUUUCCAUGCUCUAAAAUUUCCAUUAAAUGCAACUUUUGACGAUUUGAAAACCUGAAAAUUAUAAAGCGUCUCAGACGCGAAAUCAGUUAUUUUUAGUCAGAAAUUGUGAAUGGGAUCCCAACUAGUAUACCAGAAUGCAGCCUGCGCAUGCGCGCUGCGCUUAUCCGCUUUUGGUUUACAAACAAUGCAUCUCAUUUCUGUGAUCGAAAAUAUAAAAAAAAGAGAAACAAAAGCCGGAGCCAGCGACAUCGCUCGAAUUUAAUCAAUCUUGGCGACAAGACUGAGUGUUUGCAGAACCAUAGGAGUAUCGUUGGAAGAGACGAAGACAGGGUAAUGGCUUAAACACACGAAUUGUAUUUAGGAAGACGUGCCGGCCAAACUAUUGCAAGUUUGACUGUUCAGCAUAAUGUUAGAACAAAAAACUCUUCACCUAUGCACGGUCAUCAGCCCCCGCCAGGUCCUGGCCUGUCAUUUGUGUCACAAGGAAGUACCACACCUGGUCAUGUGUCAGGAAUUGGAGAGAUAACAGCUUACUUAGAAGUAAAUUGAAGGCAGCCGACAAUUGGACGGUGGUGCCAAUCAAUGAAAAGAAGGGAUACACGUACAUGCACUGAGUACACAGAGAUCAUCAAGGAAAAAACCCUUCGAUCAAAGUUCCUUUUUGAUUCAGCUUAUCCAAAGCUAAUUGCCUCUACAAUUGCCCCUUAUAUAUCCACCUGCGGCUAAUGAGGAGCUGCAAUAUCCAAUAGGUCAAGGGCAAGCAACCCGGAAACAAUAUGAAGAUUUACUCAUACAAAUUGGUACAUGGUGUAUGUAACUAUGUUGUUUUAACUAACUUCAACAUACCAUUAUUAUGAAUUAAACAAGAUGUGUUUGUGAGACACUAUGUCCCCCUAUAUGAUGUUUGACAUUGUAGGAUGACCUUGACCUUGUGAAGGAUGACCUUGACCUUUCACCUCUCAAAAUGUGCAGCUCCAUGAGAUACACAUGCAUGCCAAAUAUCAAGUUGCUAUCUUCAAUAUUGCAAAAGUAUUCAUAAAAUAAGCGAUUUGGGCCACAUAUAUUUUACCUCUGACCUUGAAGGAUGACCUUGACCUUUCACCACUCAAAAUGUGCAGCUCCAUGAGAUGCACAUGCAUGCCAAAUAUCAAGUUGCUAUCUUCAAUAUUGCAAAAGUAUUUAUAAAAUGAGCGAUUUUGGCCACAUAUAAUUGACCUCUGACCUUGAAGGAUGACCUUGACCUUUCACCACUCAAAAUGUGCAGCUCCAUGAGAUACACAUGCAUGCCAAAUAUCAAGUUGCUAUCUUCAAUAUUGCAAAAGUAUUCAUAAAAUGAGCGAUUUUGGCCACAUAUAUUUGACCUCUGACCUUGAAGGAUGACCUUGACCUUUCACCACUCAAAAUGUGCAGCUUCAUGAGAUACACAUGCAUGCCAAAUAUGAAGUUGCUAUCUUCAAUAUAGCAAAAGUUAUUGCAAAAUGUUAAAGUUGGCGCAAACAGACCAACAGACCAACAGACAGACAGACAGGGCAAAAACAAUAUGUCCCCCACUACUAUAGUGGGGGACAUAAAAAUUGACAAAGCUGAAAUCAAUGAUAACUGAUUAUGGGUAGGAACAUGUGUGAAUUUGGCAGCAUGGUUUUAUAGGAUGUAUACCAUUGAGUAUAAAAGUGCAUGUGUGACCCUUGCUGUUUUUUCAGUCAGAAGAUGGCUUUAGUAUUGAAAUGAUGCUUGAAUUUAUUUGUGUAAUAUGAAGGCGUGACCAAAUGUGUGACAUUAUGGUCGACUGUCCUGUCAUCAUCAUGGUGAUAAAAUGUGAUUUUAAUAAGUGAACUGCUUAUAAACAUAGGGCAGAAAUAUCAUUGAUAAAAUACUGAUGAACAUAGCAUACAAGUGCCCUGAAAUGCCAUGAGAAUAUGUAUUUGAGUUUUAAGUGUGUACGGUAUUGUGAAUUUUGUUAAUUGUUUUGUUAUAAAAAUAUAGGAUCCAAAGUAUUCAAUCAUAGAUUACUCUGAAAAAGAAGAAUAAGUAAAAAACUUGUCUGGCAAAUAACUACAUAAACAAUGGGCCAAGUUCCAGAUUUUUUUGUCACAAGUCAAGACCAUUAACAAAAAUUGUUGACUCUUAUAGGUGUUAUGUAUCAUGAUUUGUGUUAAGUUUUUUAUGGGAGACCCAUGAUCAAACAUGGUGAAUUGUUUUGUUAUUACAAUAGAGGAUCCAAAGUAUUUGAUCAUAGGUCACUCUGAAACAGAAGAAUUUGUGAAAACCUUGUCUGGCAAAUAGCUAAAUAAACACUGGGCUCAGCAUUUUCCUGAUUUUUUGUCACAAGUAAAGACUAUGAAAAGGAAUUAUUGACUCUUUUAGGUAUAAGCUACCAUACUUAAUGUUGAGUGCGUGCUGCACACCACAUUUGUUUAUGUUCCAUUAACAGUGACAUCAAAGCACAAUGCUAUAUAUAGAUUAUGUAUUGUUUUCCAUUGUUUAUCAGUCUAUAAACAACCAUUUAUUGUAAUAGCCUUACAUAAACUGUCAUAAAGAUGAUAAAGUGUUGUUUAUCCAUAAAUAAAAAAUUAGUGGAAUUCAGAAAUAAUUUGAUCUGUCAAAUGUUGAAAGUUGGAAACAUUUAUUCAAAAUGUUAUCAAUUAUAGUUUUGUUUCAUGAAUAUAGAGUAUUAUGCUUUGUGUUCAUUAUGUUAUGGAUUUUGUUGUUUUGUUUUAAAAUGUUUUAAUAAAUAACAUGAAGAAAUAAGAAGCCAGUUUGUUCAAUUUUGAUUUAUUAUUACAUGUAUAUUACACAGCAAAACAUUACUGCAAGAAUGUUUAGUGAACACCUUAUUAUAAUACAUGUUGAGUUCAACACUGAACAAAAGAAUAUGCAUCAAUUAAAAACGACUCAUAAUACAUUAUUAUAUGAAACUGCAUCAUGAUUCAAAAAUUAAAGAGCAUAUAGACAGCUAAAACCUAAAUAGGUGAGCCUUGCCCUGGGAAAAUGGGGCUUAAUGCAUGUGCGUAAAUUGUCGUACGAGAUUAACAUGUGCUGAUCAUACCAAUCAGGCAGACAAUUGCUGCUUUAUUGUAUUUUUUGUUGAAAGGGAGAGAGAAAAUCCAGAUAAGGCGGAAAGUGUUGCCCCUGAUUAGCCUGUGCAGUCUGCACAGCCUAAUCUUGGACAACCUUAAGUACAUGCAUUAAACCCCCUUUUUCAAGAGCGAGGCUCAAAUAUUUAUUAAAUGAUUGAUUAAGUCUUCCACAUAACAUCUUUUAAGAAACUUUCAGUAAAACAUGUUUAUUUGAUGACAGGCACGGCAAAAUCAGUAGUAAAUUCAUAGUAUUAAUUUGUGUUAUAUUAUAAUACUUACAUAUUGUUGCUGGUUAUAAAUGUGGAAAAAGUUUGAA